CGUGGGGCAAGGAGGUAGAGGAGGGUCGCGCCAACAAGCUUCCAUGACAAAAGCUUGGCUCCCAGAUGUCUUCAUGUGACCUAGACAGAUGUGCUUGCCAGUGAGGAGUCUGCACUGAUUCAUCAUGGCAAGAUCUUAAGAGUCCUGAGGAGUCAUGGACUGGCCUCUCCUCUCUUCUUCUCUCUUCACCAACCCAGUUGCCAACAUAACCGCAGGCGAGUUCACCGAGAGAGUGUCCGUCAGCAGCACUCCUUGGCAGCCAAGGCGGCAGGCCUCCCUCGCUCCCUCCCCGUCGUGGAUUCCUGACGACGGCUGAAUACACUCCCAGGGAUUUCAGACGCUCUUCCAGCCAAGGUCAUUGUGGUCUUGAUCAAGGAACUAGAAACAUUCCACAGUUGCUGGGUCCAUUCAGGUGAUGAAAAAUUACAUCAUGAUGUGCCUGAUCCUGUACAUGUGUACUCAGAAGCAAGUCCCACUUUGUUCAGUUAUUAUGUCUUGUGGACUAGACGCAGCAUUUCCAGCACUGAAGCCAGCGUGGUGGGAUGCAGUGUUCCCCCUAAAAAGGAUUCCCAGAUGUUGUUGACUACAACUCCCAUAAUCCCCAAUCAAAAGCCAUUACAGCUGGGAAUUCUGGGAGCUGUAGUCAGCAACAUCUGGGAAUCCCUGUUAGAGGGAACACUGGUGGGAUGUGUGCCACCCCAGCAGGAAAAUGAAUGGAGCAGCAGAGAGUGGGAGAUGUCCUUUCCUUGGAAAUGCAGCUGUCCCAAGCUCCUGACUCAGAUAAGGGACAAGAAGAGGACAUCAACAAGAUAACUCCCAAUAGCACCGACCCUCCCCCCACCAAGUUUAUAGACAAUCUAUCACCAAGUGGGGCUGAAGAAACAAGUGCAACUGGGAAAAGGCACCUUUAACAUAAUGUAAUCAUGACAAUCCAUCCCAAAGUUUUGUUGGGACUUUUUUAGCCUUCAUGAUUAUAAGCAAGAGUUUAACAAUCUGAUGGCAAUAUGUAUACUCAAAGAUCGAAGUUUAAUGGUGGACCCAAUUUGAGAGGCUCUUUCCACCAGUUAAGAAAGUUCCAGCUGAACCACAAAAAGAAAAUUAAUAUGAUAUACAUUGAACUUUUAAUCAGGACUGAAUAUACUCUGCCAAAAAAGGGGGGGUACUAGAGAACCCCAAUUCUGCACCAGGAAAAACUAAGCUCCGCAACCUAUAUAACUUACACAGAUUGGUUUAUAUUUGUUAUUUAAAUUGUUUUGGGGUAUUUUAAUUGGUUUUAAAUGGUUUUGAAUUGUUUUAAAAUUGUUUUUAUAUUAUUAGUGUGUUUAGAUGGUGUUUGUUUUAUGUCUUUUUAAAUUUGUUGUGCACCACCCAGAGCCUUUGGAUGGGGUGGUCUAUAAAUGUAAUAAAUAAAUAAAUAAAUUUGUAUAAUU